rnacentral:lncRNA from 1 species
AGUGCUACGCGCCUGCGAGCUCGCGCACAUACACAUAUACAUACAUACACACAUACAUACAUAUGCACACACACGUACACGCAGAAUCACACACACUCUCCUGGGACAUCAAAGCAUCAGCUCUCUGGACCUGGGAGCUCCAAGAUAGUCUAUCCGCAUCUAGGUGAGAGGGCACCUCGCCUGGGGACAGAUUACAAAAGCGUCCCGCCAGAGGAAUGCUUCAGGUAGAGCUAGGGGUGGAUUGCAAGAAGAGUACCUUCUUUCAAUCGCUUUUGCUAAACACACACCCUCACACGCAAAAACACGCCCUCCAAGGUGGAGUGAAACGGGGUGCGGGGGUGGGGACGGCGGUGGAAGGAAGAAGACUUUUAUUACUCAAUCUGGAAAGUGCAAAUACACACAUGAACCUGUUAGCCGAUGGGCCCACUCUGCAUGGGUGGUGGACGACGACCCUGGCUCAGGAUUCUGCAGGAAACAAGUGAUGAUAGAGGUGUCAUUAGGAACUUUAUGGAUAUUUAUGCGCCUCCCUUUCAUUGCCAUUUGGAAACUCCUCACGCAGAAGUCAAGGAAACUCCAAUCCCACUUAAACUUCAUUGCGGAGAAACAGAGUUCUGAAAAAAAAGCAGCUACCAUGGACCUCUCUUUUAAACGCAAGUACACCCACACACAUUCGGAUACCAAGGAAGGAAGGAAAGAAAGAAAGGAAAGAAAAGGGAGGGGAGGAAGGAAGAGCAAAGUCCUCUCUAAAAGUCUCAAUUAUAUAUAUAGCCUCUGAUUGUCACCUCUCCUCCGUCCCACCAUUUUUCGUACUUGUAUUGGGUGGCAGGGACACUUUUCAAGAGUUCUGUGUUCGAUUGUUCACUCUGAGUACCUCUCCACCAUCCUCCAGUCGUUGCCCUCAUUGGGAGAGAUGCUUGCUACUCUGCUAGUACCACGCCUUGGUUCCGGUCUUUACUGUUGGCUGGUAGGUCGGGAGGCACCUCUAGCAUGAGACAGUGUCUGGAAGCCAGGAUUUCCCUCAUCUAUAUGCGCCGGUCCCCAGCUCCCUGGUCGCCAGGGUUUCUCUCCAGUUGAAUUCCGUGUUCCUUCAGGUUGAACAGUAGCUUCAGCGGUUUUUCACGCUCAGAAAUGAUGAGGCCCAAUUCCAAUCUUCCCUCCCGCCGGAAGUAAGAAGGGGAAUUCUGAGUUGCUUGUCGCCUGACAGCUUAAAAUAGCAACGAAAACAGCCAGCAUCUUUGCUUAAAAACCCAAGGUUCCCGCCAGUGUUUACCAUACUUCCUCUAGAGUUUAAGAAGUUAAGAACUUCCGAGAUCUUGAAUUUCCUCUUUGCAGCACAGCGAACGGGGUCGGGUAUAAAAAUGCUCCAAGGAGCAAGUAAUUACGAACGUUUAUUGACACUACAAGUGGCCCACAGGGAGCCUUUCGAGUUUAUUGAUGUCUAGGCAAAUCCAGCCUGCAUUAAUGCAUUUCUGUUAGAUUGACUUCUGUUAGACUCACUUUUCUUCUGGCAAAAACUGCCAGAAUAAAACAGCUUCUUAUUUAAGUUAAAAGGGAUCCGGGGCUGAGGGCAGGGGUCGGGUGGGAGAGGGAUGCAUGGUUAGGAUGCUAAAUUCUCAAGGAUAAACUUUGAUUUUUAAACAGUAGACAACUAUAUUUUAGAUUAUAGGUAAAACAUCACUCUCUGUCAGGGAUAGAGUAAUAUGCAUCGUUUCAUUAAACUCAUUAUUUCUUAAGCAAUGGUUAUGGGGCAGGCAAUGUGUGCGGAGAUGGGAACACAAAGAUGAAUAAAACUUAGCAUCUAGUCAGACACAAAUCCUACUCACUCAAAGGGGGCAUCUUUUAAAAAUAAUAAUUUACAGUAUGGCAACAUGAAUCAGAAACAUCAUUUAAAAUAUAUAUGGUAUCUGAGUAAGCUCCUGGGUUGAAGCAGAUGGGGUGUUUAAGCCUUUUGAAGCCCGGAAGAUGAGUUUCCGGGUGAAGGGGACACACAGACUCCUGUUUUCAAAGCUGACAAGGAAGUAAGCCAAGCAGAGGGAGGAUAGAACAUUGCAGGUGGAAAAAGGAGUAUGCGCAACUCCAGAGAGUAAUAAAACUCUGGUGCUUUGGGGCAACUUUGAAGUGGCUCAGUACUGUUAGAAGGGAAAGUGGUAAGGGAGAGUGCUGGUCCAAAAGUUUCGGUGUACUCAUAAUAUUCUAUGGCUCCAGAGUGUGGAACAGUCUUCUGUAAUGAGAAAGCCACAAGAAAAUCUUCAAGAGGAAAGUGAGUAUAAUCUAUAUUAAGCUUUAAAUUACAUUAGGGGAAACUACUUACCUAGCCCAAACAGGAAAAAACAAACAAACAAACAAAAAAAGAAAAGAAAAAAAAAAAAAAAAAGAGCGAAACGAAAGCAAUCAAGAACUAGUUAUAGGAACACAUAAGACAAAUUUAAAUGUCCAGAAGAAAAAUAAGUGAACUCUCCAAUUGUAUAAUGCUGCUGUUUCUGAAUUUUUUAAGUACAGAACUUUUUAUAUUAAGGCGAGCAAUUCUGAAUGACUGAUAACUGUUCAGCGAGACUCCAGGAAUUCUUCUUCCCAAAUUAAAGCAAUUUAGUGUUUGGAGUGUAAUUGAAUGCCAUUUGUUUAAUAUUGUUAGAUUCGUUAAAUAUAUAGCCAUUAUAAUUUGCCAAUUAAAAAGAAGCCAUACAGGCCAAUACUUAGACAAAAGUGAGGACAGCAUGGUUUUUUCUCAAUAUGUAAAUAGGUGCAAGAACUAUAAAUAUUGGAUAAAAAGUCUUUUGGAAUUAACUUCUAUUAGAAUGCUUAGUUUGAUGUUCCUGAGCACCAAAAGACUAUAAAGAAGUCUUUUGGAAUUAACUUCUUCUAUUAGAAUGCUUAGUUUGAUGCUCCUGAGCAAAUAAGAUUGUUUCUAAAUUUUCAUUUGAUCUUUGGAUUGUAAGUUCUUCAAUAAAGAGAAUAUAUUUGUCUUUAUUCAGCACAAUUCUACAAUUAUACAAUAGCCUAUAAAUAAAUAAUGUGAGUAAUGGCAGCUGGUUUUAAA